GGUGGCUUGAGGAAAACAAAGAUCAAGGAUGAUGAAUUGAUUUGUGUUGAUGCUCUGAAGUAACCAAAAUAAGCAGCGAGCCCCAUUGGAAAGGUCAUUUGUCAAUUGGACUCCCUUCAGAGCCUAGUUUGAUGCUAGAGCUUCAACAUCAACACUUCGCAGUGUAUUUCAUCGACAAUCUUUCACCCAGAUGUUGACAUUAGAGACUCCUCCUGCUGUGUACGCAUCAAUGGAGCAUGGUGUUGCUGCAGCAAUAGCAAGUUCAACUGCUUUAACAGAAGAGGGGCUUGUCACUCCAAAUCAUGAAUGUGCACCUGUUGUGGAUGAAAAUCAUGAUUAUUUGUAUGCGGUAAGUGACUAUUCUAUUAUAUGUCAAUCUAAAAUUCAAUUUUUGUAUAUGCUAACAUCAUUCUUUUCAUUGUAUCAAGUGGAGUUACAAAAAAGUCUGGAGAGGAGGUUGAGUGGUCGUACUCGAAAGACACUUGCAUCAUAUACAUCUCCAUUCCCUUGAUAGGCAAAUAUAUCUCGUGAUCUGUUUCCUUCCCCUAGAGGGAAAUGAAUAGAAUAGGGUCCUAUGUUGUAUGCCUAUAUGGGAAUUUUGAACAUAUGUUUUGUAUUACAAAUAUGUGACAUUUUAUGUCCAUAUGGCUUUUGGCAAGCUCCUAUUUGACUUUAUUGGAUACCAUGUUGUA